GGACGAACGCUGGCGGCGUGCCUAACACAUGCAAGUCGAGCGGAGUUUUUCGGAUUGAGACCUUCGGGAGGAUUUCUGAGAAACUUAGCGGCGGACGGGUGAGUAACGCGUGGGCAAUCUGCCUCUUACAGGGGGAUAACACAGGGAAACCUGUGCUAAUACCGCAUAAAACUGCACCGUGGCAUCACGGAGUAGCCAAAGGAGCAAUCCGGUAAGAGAGGAGCCCGCGUCUGAUUAGCUAGUUGGUGAGGUAACGGCUCACCAAGGCGACGAUCAGUAGCCGAACUGAGAGGUUGAUCGGCCACAUUGGGACUGAGACACGGCCCAGACUCCUACGGGAGGCAGCAGUGGGGAAUAUUGCGCAAUGGGGGAAACCCUGACGCAGCAACGCCGCGUGAAGGAUGAAGGCCUUCGGGUUGUAAACUUUUUGAUCGGGGACGAAUAAUGACGGUACCCGAAAACAAGUCACGGCUAACUACGUG
rnacentral:rRNA from 1 species